rnacentral:rRNA from 1 species
AUUGAACGCUGGCGGCAGGCCUAACACAUGCAAGUCGAGCGGAUGAAGGGAGCUUGCUCCUGGAUUCAGCGGCGGACGGGUGAGUAAUGCCUGGGAAUCUGCCUGGUAGUGGGGGAUAACGUCCGGAAACGGGCGCUAAUACCGCAUACGUCCUGAGGGAGAAAGUGGGGGGUCUUCGGACCUCACGCUAUCAGAUGAGCCUAGGUCGGAUUAGCUAGUUGGUGGGGUAAAGGCCUACCAAGGCGACGAUCCGUAACUGGUCUGAGAGGAUGAUCAGUCACACUGGAACUGAGACACGGUCCAGACUCCUACGGGAGGCAGCAGUGGGGAAUAUUGGACAAUGGGCGAAAGCCUGAUCCAGCCAUGCCGCGUGUGUGAAGAAGGUCUUCGGAUUGUAAAGCACUUUAAGUUGGGAGGAAGGGCAGUAAGUUAAUACCUUGCUGUUUUGACGUUACCAACAGAAUAAGCACCGGCUAACUUCGUG